UGAGGAAUAUUGGGCAAUGCCCGCAAGGGUGACCCAGCAACGCCGCGUGGAGGAUGAAUGUCGUAAGAUUGUAAACUCCUGUUAGAGGGGAAGAAUAGUACCGGUUGGACCGGUAUAUGACUGUACCCUCAGAGAAAGCCCCGGCUAACUACGUGCCAGCAGCCGCGGUGAUACGUAGGGGGCAAGCGUUGUCCGGAUUUACUGGGUGUAAAGGGCGCGCAGGCGGGAUAAAAAGUCAGUGGUGAAAUCCUACAGCUUAACUGUAGAACUGCCUUUGAUACUUUUAUUCUUGAGUUCGGGAGAGAGAGACGGAAUUCCAGGUGUAGUGGUGAAAUACGUAGAUAUCUGGAAGAACACCAGUUGCGAAGGCGGUCUCUUGGUCCGAUACUGACGCUGAGGCGCGAAAGCGUGGGGAGCAAACA
rnacentral:rRNA from 1 species